rnacentral:sRNA from 23 species
UUUAAAGGAAGGCAUGCUAAGAUCGCAACGUCCUGCUGCAACGCAUGCACUUGUAGGUCCUGUACU